UUCAAGUGGCUGCUGCCGCUUUCCCCCCUCCCCUUUGGUGCGACAGCCUCAGAGCUGGCGGAGAGGCAGCGCGCGCAGCUAGCUGGAUAAAUUCGUAGACGUGGAAUUUCUGGAUUAAAUGGUCACCAAUUGUUUCAGCAUCAUUUAUUGAAUAAUCCAACCUUCUUCCACUGGUUUGAAAUGGCAACAACUGCUCUCCCAUUAGCUAGGGUAUAAUGUCCACAGGUACUCGGAGAAUUAAAGCUGUCUGGACUCAGUCCCUGGAAUUUUCUAGAAUGGCAUAAGAAGGAAAUGUAAGAAAUGUAUGAGGAGCAGAAAUUAAUGUUUGCCAGCCUGUUGCUGGCAGUAGUCUGAUCUAGGGAUUUAAAGGAGACCUACUUUACCCUAUUAUUGAGCUACAACUCUGGCCUGCGACAGAGACACAGCUUGUGUAGUGGUUAAGAGCAAGGCUUCUGGACCCAGACUCCCUGGUUAGGAUCCAGGUUCCACCCCUUUCUAAUCGUAUCACCUUGGGAGGAGAUUGGACGAUUGAGAGAGCCCUUGGAAGAGGGGAAGAGGGCUUCGUUCCCAGUGUGUAUUUGCCACAUAGUGACCAUAGUGAAUGGUGAUAUCUGUGCUUCUCAGCUCAGCCUGGUGGCCUGACUUUAACUCCCAGGUUCCAUGGUCCCAUCACAACUGCAAGUCAUCCUCAUACAAACGUUGAGUUGACCUAGCAUGCACCUUUGAGAGUUUUGGAACAAUAUGCAAGUUCAAGUCACCAUCGUGUCAUCUUGCUGACAAUCUCGUGGGACAAGACCAACACUGGGGAUCCUUGCUUCUGCCCUUGGUCUUCUGCCUGUCCUUCCCUCUGCAGCCAUUGAUCAGACACGUGUUGUCAUACAAAAGCUGUUUUGCUUUUCUUAUUUGUCUUGUGAAUGUUGUCCUUCGCGUCGUAUACAUCACAGAUUAGUGUCGUGUGCUGCUCUGUGAGCUAAAAACUUUCAAUACUUGUAAAUUUGCGUAAGUUUGGGUAAGAAUGGCAUCCAAGCAGCAAAGCAAGAAUACAGAUUAUAGAAAUGCAAGAAGAGCAAUGAGGGCAAGAAAAGUGAUGUCUAUAGCAAACAAGAUGAAAGUUCUUGAAAUGCUUGAUAAUGGCGAAACCGAGACUUCUGUAGAGUGUUUUUGGGGUGUUAAUAGGUGUAUAAUUUGCACAGUAAAGAAAAAUGAGAAAGCUAUUAGGGCCAGUGUAUCGAGGGGCACAUCAGAAUCAUUGAGAAAAUCAUUCCUAGUUUGAAAUAUCAAAACAGAGACAAUGGAAAAAGAUUGGCAUGUGUGGCUUCUAACGCAGAGAAAGCUGAAUAGGCUUCCUCCGGUAUGCAUCCUCUGCCAGUGAGCACCACAAAAAUGCAAGUUUAAAUUUCGACCCGGACCAAAAGUUGUAACAUUCAUUGCGAGGAUUGGGUGGUUGGAUAGGUUUGAGAAACGCUCUGGUCUGUGUGAAAAGAAAUGGCUGGCAGAGGAAGAGGGUUGUGAAGCUGCUGCCGAGUAUCCCGAAUACCGGAAGAAACUGAGGGAGGAAAAUGGCAGUGUCUUCAGUGCCGAUGAGCCCGCCUGCACCGGAAGUGCGUGCCUAUUUGCACAUCUAUUGCAAAGGAUGAGAAAAAGACUGGAGGCUUCAAGCCCUGGGAAGACAAGCUCCAAGUUCGAUUUUGUUCCUGCGCUUCUGAUGACUUUCUGACCAAAUCCAUGUUGCUUCACAGAUUCCAAAAAUCCUUGCCUCUUAAAAGAGAAUGCUAAAAACACUUUUCUGUGUACAUGGAGGGAAACCAUAAAAUAUGGGCCACUGAGAAACUCUUUUUGGACUGGUUUCUGAAGUGUCUUUUUUUCCUGAGGUUAAAUAAUAUUGAAACCGAAGAAAAUCAUGAAUUCAAAGUGUCACUGUUUCUGGACACUGCUCCCAUUGACAAAACUGCAGUAGUAAACUCGGAUCCCCGUGUUCCAGUCAUCUCCAUCCCUCCUCCCCCGCACGACUCGACACCUUCAUCCCAUGCAUCUGGGAGUGCUAAAAAUUGUUCAGGAUGUACUGUAUUUGGCAUAUAGUUGAUUACCAUGCAGAUCUGAUGAGAGAGACCCCAGAAGUUACUGUGAAAGUAGCUUGGCAAAAUUUCUCCAUUUGUAAUGCUUUAAGGAUGGAAGAAGAAUCGGUGAGAGAAAUAACACAAUCAACCCUUAAUGGAGCCUGGCAGAAACUUCAGAACGAGACUGUAACGGACUCUGAAAGUUUUCUUCCAGUGGUAGAAGAAAUUGAGAAUGUUGUAGCAUCUGCAAAACAUUUGAGGGGUUGAAGGAUUUGAAGACAUUGAAUGAAAUGACAUUUUGCUGAACUGUUAGAUUCUCACCCUCAGAAGACAGUUGAGAAAUUUUUCAGAGAUGUGAUCAUAUCAAAAAUUGAUGAAAGAGGUCAUUGUAGGUUAACAUCCAGAACUCGAAGAAUGUUGAAGCAGCUACUGUGCAAAUCAACUGGCUGUAAUGAUUCAGAGGAAAGAGAUCCUUCGACAGAGUGUUUAUUGACC